rnacentral:lncRNA from 1 species
GGGGUUUGUUAGGUGAUUAAAUUAGUUCUAUCAUUCAGGAAGGGCGUGCGUUAACAUUAGAGCGUCCUGUCACAGGACGGGAACUGUACAUAUUCGAUGAAUUUAGAUUCCCCUGUGAUGUUUAUAUUAUUGAAUUCGUUCUUGUUAUCUUGGAAAUGUUUUUUCGUCAUAGUUGCUCUCGUGGAACAGGGUGGAGGUACCAGCACCUAUGUCUGGAGGCACCUUGGUGAAUUAGGGGGGAUAGCUAAAAAACAAGCGCACGCUAUUAUUUGUAAUGAAGUCAGCGGGAUGCAAUGAUUUUUUUUUUUUUUUUUUUUUU